UUGUCCCUCUUGCCGAACGCUGCGUGGGCUGCGAGAUCAUUCGAGAGUGCAUUUUUCUCGUCCAAUCAGCUGCGCGGAGUCCGCUCCCCAUGCAGCCAAUGGGGAGGAUGGGAGGCUCUAACGAAUUUGAAUGAGGAGUGUAUCUUUCGGCGCCAUUUUCGAGUGAGCAGCGAUUGCUUCAGCAGCUGCGGGGAGAGGAUGCUGCGAAGAGAAGGGCUAUCGUUGAGAGAGGGAGGUGAAACCAAAGCGCUCAAGAUGUGACUAUAUGUGCGUUCAGAGAGUAAAAUAAUGUUAUUUCGGCGAAACCGCGGCUAGUUGGAGAAAAAAAUGCACUUGGUUGUCGUGGGAGAGCCUUAACGGACUGAACGAGAGAGGGGGGGGGGGGAUACGUGGAAGAGAAGAGAGACCGACCGCAGCGGGGAGACGUUAGCCAGUUGGCCAGCUUUGCCAGCUUGUACUACUAGCAGCUAACCUGCUAGCUUAGCAUGCUAGCAAAAAGAAAAGGGAUUUCUGACUUUGCUGCGUUGUAACGGUAAAAAAAAUAAUAACGCGCUCAUUUAGCGGUCCGUUUUAUUCAGGAGUUGGAGGAAAAUAUUCGAAAAAUGAGUGAACAAAUAUUCUACGUUUUGAUGGAGCGGACAUAUUGUGGUGAUUGAUCCAAGUUGGACUAUUAUGGACUAUUUUUUUUUUCGCAUUGAAGCCCAGUUUUGAGCGGGAGGUGCAAAAGCAGCCAGGCUGGAGCGAAGGAGGCACAGUCGGUACGGAUCACGGCUGCCUGGCAGUGUCAACAAAUGCACACUGCACCUACACUGGCUUGAGAGGGAAAAAAAGCAGAGACCGGGACUGACAGUAUAUUUUGUACAAGCUUGUUAUCUUAGGCUGAUCUUUUUUUUUCUCGGCUGACAAAUAAUUUGGUGAACGGGCUUUUGAACUGAAUACAUUUUUGAGUUGCAGGCGGUCUUUGGAUUUUUAUCGACAAAACACUCGGUUGGGAGUCACUGCCUGCUUCAGAAUUGGAAAGACGACCUACGUUUGCAACAUGCUGAUGGUGAUCUCAUCAUCAAUGGGGUAGAUAAAUGAUGGAUAGGUAAUAGUCUGUCUGUCUGCAUGCAUAAAUACAUAUGUAUAUGUUGGAGAAGCAGCCCGAAGGAUGAAGAGUGCACGAGUGACUGGAAAAGAGAAGAUGAGAGGGAUUAGAAGCAAGAAGAGGACCCAUGGCAGCAGAUCUGGUGAUGCUGUAGCAGCACAGAAUGGUUUGUGGGUUACACUGAGAUGCAGGCCAUACUGUGCUGCAGCAGUAAAGCCUGAACAUACAACCCUGCUGACUUAUUUGCUCCUCAAACUGUUGCCCUAGUUCAAAUAUAACUGAAAGUUGACUUAUCCACCAUCAUCCCGAGUUAUAGUGUUGCUGCAAAUGUAUUUCUGAUGACCAGACGUUAGUAAAAGUCCUCCCAUGGGGGACUUGUGGGUUACACGCAUGUUUUUUUAUGGGUGCUCUAUGUGUCUAAGGCUUCAUCGUUCUCGGCUGCCGGUGGCCUUGCUGUAGCAGCACGUAAAUAUUGGAGUUAAGACUAUCGCUGAAGCCUCCAGUAUUGAUCGUGCUGCUGAAGCAAAGCUGACCACUUACAAACAGCAUAACUAAGACCCUUGUGCCAAAUAAGCACAGUGGCUUCACCGUUUGAGACAUAAUUACAGGUUCGUUGUUUUCCGUGAUAAUCAAAUGUGUGUACAUUAAUUCCUCGAAACUAAUCGAAAUUAUAACUGUAAACAUGUGCACUUUGAGAAAUAAAUGUUUUAACUGA